GUGGCUGUAGCUUAAUGGUAAAGUGUCCCGCUGUGAACGGGAAGAUCAGGGUUCGAACCCCGCAGUGCACC
rnacentral:tRNA from 1 species